UGCACGGUGGUGGAUAUGGAUCUGCACUCCAAAUCUGGAAACCUACGCAGCUGUCAGUAACUGUUGGUUAUAAAAUCUGGAAGUAAUUGAGGAAAAAGGAAAACGCUGGUAAAGUACAUGUGGAGCAACCUGGCACAUGCGCCGACUUGCAACAUCGCGAGCUACAUAAUGCAGGAAUGUCAAAUUGUGAUUUAUUUACU